CCUCUGCUUCCGCUUGAAGAAUCUGAGCUUUAAGCCUCAUUCUCUCUGUUUCUUUGGAAUUCUGGGUUGCCAAAUAAGCACUGCUAUGAUAGGAACAAGCACUAUCUCUGUCAUGAUUAGAAUGUGAGCGAUGACUACUGGCAGAUGACAUAUUUGACCGGUGUGUGACAGAACUUUUGGUGCUCUGUGGCCGAGAAGGGUAAAACCCCUGACUGACUUGAGAAUUCUGAGAUGGGGAUGUAAAGUAAACCUCACUCAACUGAAAUUCUUGAAGCUGAGACUGAGAGGCUUCAAGCACAGCAUUAACUCCACUUUCUUUAUUUUGUGAGUCAAAGAGUAAAGCUUGAAGCCUUUCUUUGGCCUCAUCAUUAUUAAUGUCUUUAAGAACUUGUUGUUGUUUAUCUAUUAGGGCUUUCCAUUGAGAAAAGGUGUCCAGGAGCCCUUUUUUAUAAAAUGCUAUUUCCUCAAGGUUAUUGGUGGUUGACAAAGUACGCAUGGCAUUUUCCAAUUUUUUUCCAAGCCUUUUCAGCCUUUAUAAUUAAGCAGCUUUCGCUUUCCAGCAACCGUUGCAAGCCCUUUUCUGAUGGGUGCUUUUCUCUAUGGGAGCGGGUGCUAUGCGAAUGUCUGCUUGAGCUUCCCUCAGAAAGCCUAUCCAUUAUGAUAGAUCACUCGUAAACUCUGUGUGGAAAGAGGACUGAACGUGUGACAGACUGCACACAGCCUACAAUACCACCUAUACUAUACGGUGAAAUCACAAAAUAUGGAAUCGGUAAAGAGCUGAGGCAAGGAAAGUAAUGCGCAAGACUUCAACUCUCACUUCCCCACCUGGAUAGAUUUUGGACGAAGAAGCCUUGAAGACUCAGGUGUAGAUGCCUAAGUGAUUUGCUACCCAGGAAUGAAUCCAGCCUCAGGAGGGAAUGCGUGGCUCAUUGAGAUAUCUAUGGCUACUUAAGAGCAUCAUUUUGCAAGCAUUUUGUCAAUUUCCUCAGCAAAUUUUCAUGCAUGCUUUUUGCCAAUUAAAAAUACACAUCUUUAUAUGAAA